GCCUUUGAUGACAUGAUGCUUGCAGAACAGGCAAAUAUUAGCCUGCAAUCUGUUGAUAUUUCUCAUGAACUAGGACGGUCUGAGGC